rnacentral:rRNA from 1 species
CCCUUAGAUGGUCUGGGCUGCACGCGCGCUACAAUGGGCAAGACAGCGAGUGACGAGGCGCGGCGAGUCCGUGCUGUCCUGCUCCGGGAGGGGUGGGUAAUCUUGCAAACUUGUCCGUGAUGGGGAUAGAUGUUUGUAAUUUUGGAUCUUGAACGAGGAAUUCCUAGUAAACGCGUGUCAACAACGCGCAUUGAUUACGUCCCUGCCCUUUGUACACACCGCCCGUCGCUCCUACCGAUUGGGUGUUGAGGUGAGGUUUUUGGAGCUUGUUGGUUUCCUGGGCGACUGGGGGGCUGGGGGCGAAGUUACCCAAAUCUUGACAUCUAGAGGAAGGAGAAGUCGUAACA